rnacentral:rRNA from 1 species
AUUGAACGCUGGCGGCAGGCCUAACACAUGCAAGUCGAGCGAGCGGCGGAAGGGUGAGUAAUGUCUGGGAAACUGCCUGAUGGAGGGGGAUAACUACUGGAAACGGUAGCUAAUACCGCAUACCAUCAGAUGUGCCCAGUUGGGAUUGGCUAGUAGGUGGGGUAACGGCUCACCUAGGCGACGAUCCCUAGCUGGUCUGAAAGGAUGACCAGCCCCACUGGAACUUAGACACGGUCCAGACUCCUACGGGAGGCAGCAGUGGGGAUUAUGGCACACUGGGCGCAAGCCUGCUGCAGCCCUGCCGCGUGUGUGAAGAAGGCCUUCGGGUUGUAAAGCACUUUCAGCUGGGAGGCGUUACCCGCAGAAGAAGCACCGGCUAACUCCGUGCCAGCAGCCGCGGUAAUUC